ensembl:lncRNA
CAGGAAUCCACCGGCCCUCGCGUCACGGGAAAGACUCCGCAGCGCGAUAGAGACGUGGAUCCGAUAGCCUGUGUGUUUUGUAGGAGGAUUCAGAGGAAAAAGUAUAGUGAUUUAUUCAUCCAGAAUCUACUUGGGACCUUUUUUUUUAUCGUGCUCCUGGCGCAGUACAUUAGUCUUCAGUAGUAUCUGCUGAGCAGCAGAGCGACAUGUUCGGCCUCCCGGGAAACAAAGCGGGAGCGGUAGGUAUCUGCUGGCAGCCUUGAAAGACCACCGGGCGAUGCCAGACGCUAAGCGAAGCGAAGCAGUCGGAGGAGAUCCGUCAAGCAGCCGAUGAAGGGCAUUGACGCAGCUGGGUGGUGACACAUUUUGGAUCGGCUCCUUUAGCGCACUCUGGAUGACAGCGGGUGUGCCGGCGGCGAGGAGUCAGCUGGUCUGCAUAACAGCUGCUGGCCCAUACUCAAACAUGAGAGGACCAGUGAGUGUUGUCAAACACACCCUGUCCACACGUCCUCACACACCCUUAAGUGCGCUACACAACGCAGACGGAGCCAAACAACACAGCUCAGGCACAGGCCUCGAUGGCAGCCGACAUGUUGCUUCUGCAAGAGGGCACUUCCAUCCCUGAACCAACUUGACCCCAAGAGCCACGUUUCUCGGAGGCCAUCGCUAUGACAGGUUGAUCGGAGGCGCAGGUGCUCGCUAAAGAGGAGUGUUGCAUCACAGUUUUGGGGUUUUUACUUCCAGCGCCAAGAUAUUAGAUGAUAUGAACAGUCUCGCUGCUUCUCUUCAUCGGGGGGGGCACGAGCUUCAGGACCGCAGCCGACCGCCGUCCACAUCGAGGUUUUGAAAAUGUUAUCAACACGACCGGGAAAAACAACACGGGAGCAGAAACGCUGACUCCAUGUUCCACAAGUGAUGCGCUGAACGGCACAUCCUGCUAAGCCUUCAAUUACAGCAGAGGAGUCGGACGCCGGGAGUGACGCAGGAGGGGAGCGCGGAGGGAUCUCAUUACCUCAGAGGCCUCCCGGGAGCUGUGGCUCACUGGGCCGGAGGAUUUCACUAAUAGAGCCGUUGUCUCUCGACUGAGUGUCUUCAUUAGCACUCCCGCCGUAUUUUCCUUCUAUCCUGUCCCCCCGCCCGCCUCUUUUCUAAUCAAACAGGUGUUAGCCGAGCCUCUUCACCUCACCUCACCUGGCCCCUGGCUCUCCGGGACUCUCCACGGGGGGGGGGCCUUGUCCGCGUCGGGGGCACGCCUGGAGAUACACGGUGGGUGAAAGCCACUGACCUUCCCCCACCCCCCCCACGCCGGUGUCUUGCCACUGCGCGUCGAGGAAUGGGGCGGGGAAUCGUCGACCGCGAGCGGCGCCCUUCCCGUGGCUGGGUGGGGAGAGGAGAUUUUGGCGAGAUUUUUGGCGAGUUGGGGCGAGGUCACUCCCACUCAAGUUUCCCGAAAGGAACUGGCUCGGCAUGACUGGCGUUUCGCCGCGGCCCCUCCCAGAUGUGAGUCACAGCCUCCGUGCUUCACGGAGACGGAGUCGUCCAGGUGUGAAGAACUCAUCGCGUGAGGAGGAUGUGAGCCCAGCGAGGAUCAGACCAUUGUAUUCGCAGAUUCAACAGAUCAUUAUUGUUGACUCUAAAAAUCUGCUGCUGAACAACGUGGGACCAACAGAAACCAUCUUAACCAAAUCAAGCAACAGAGAAGGGAAAGGAAAUAACUGUUUGGCCAGCUUGAUGGAGAACAGAUUUCUGCCUACCUGCAUUACCCUGAGUUAAGCCCCCCUCCCCCAUCACCAUCGAAUCUGUCGGAGCUACCAUGGAGACCACAUUUACUGCAGUAACUGAAUAUAAAUGAUCAAGUAUUUGAAAAAAAAAAAAAAAAUGAAGGAAAAAAGAGAGAUGGCAAGGAGAAGCAGACAGAAGGCUCUGCAAUAUGUGUUUGAAGGAUAUAUUCAUGUGGUCACGCUGAUUCGACAACAGGUUGAAAAGAUGGAAGCCUCACAAAUCACAGCUCACAGUGUAACAGGGAACCGCAGCAUCACCCGGCAACCGGCUCGCAUUGAGGAACCGUUUUGUUCCUGUUAGAUCGGGUCGGUGGAUCUUCAUUCACUGCUACAAAUCAAUAGAAGCUUGUCUGUACAUUCAGUACACGCCUCGCUCGAUUUCCCCUCAAGAUGAGCUCUGGAUUACUGUCCUCUCAACAAAGGAAAAAGGAGAGAAAAUGCAACAUGUCUAAGCAGCCUCUGCAAACCUGUUGCGGAAGUCAGUCUGUGCGUGUGUGCGCGUG